GGAUUGUGGCUCAGCGGUAGAGCACUCGCCUAGCACGUGCAAGGCCCUGAGUUCGAUCUUCAGCACCA
rnacentral:tRNA from 1 species